rnacentral:rRNA from 1 species
GAUGAACGCUAGCUACAGGCUUAACACAUGCAAGUCGAGGGGCAGCGGGCUGAAAGCUUGCUUUCAAUGCCGGCGACCGGCGCACGGGUGCGUAACGCGUAUCAAACCUGCCUCAUACUCGGGGAUAGCCUUGCGAAAGUAAGAUUAAUACCCGAUGUUGUUGCUUUCUCGCAUGGGAGAGUAACCAAAGAUUUAUCGGUAUGAGAUGGUGAUGCGUCCGAUUAGGUAGUAGGCGGGGUAACGGCCCACCUAGCCUUCGAUCGGUAGGGGUUCUGAGAGGAAGGUCCCCCACACUGGAACUGAGACACGGUCCAGACUCCUACGGGAGGCAGCAGUGAGGAAUAUUGGUCAAUGGGCGAGAGCCUGAACCAGCCAAGUAGCGUGCAGGAUGACGGCCCUCCGGGUUGUAAACUGCUUUUAGUUGGGAAUAAAAAAAGGGACUUGUCCCUUCUUGUAUGUACCUUCAGAAAAAGGACCGGCUAAUUCCGUGCCAGCAGCCGCGGUAAUACGGAAGGUCCAGGCGUUAUCCGGAUUUAUUGGGUUUAAAGGGAGCGUAGGCGGAUUGUUAAGUCAGCGGUUAAAGGGUGUGGCUCAACCAUGCAUUGCCGUUGAAACUGGCGAUCUUGAGUGCAGACAGGGAUGCCGGAAUUCGUGGUGUAGCGGUGAAAUGCUUAGAUAUCACGAAGAACUCCGAUCGCGAAGGCAGGUGUCCGGGCUGCAACUGACGCUGAGGCUCGAAAGUGUGGGUAUCAAACAGG